rnacentral:rRNA from 1 species
GGGUUGUGAGGUUAAGCGACUAAGCGUACACGGUGGAUGCCCUGGCAGUCAGAGGCGAUGAAGGACGUGCUAAUCUGCGAUAAGCGUCGGUAAGGUGAUAUGAACCGUUAUAACCGGCGAUUUCCGAAUGGGGAAACCCAGUGUGUUUCGACACACUAUCAUUAACUGAAUCCAUAGGUUAAUGAGGCGAACCGGGGGAACUGAAACAUCUAAGUACCCCGAGGAAAAGAAAUCAACCGAGAUUCCCCCAGUAGCGGCGAGCGAACGGGGAGCAGCCCAGAGCCUGAAUCAGUAUGUGUGUUAGUGGAAGCGUCUGGAAAGGCGCGCGAUACAGGGUGACAGCCCCGUACACAAAAAUGCACAUGCUGUGAGCUCGAUGAGUAGGGCGGGACACGUGGUAUCCUGUCUGAAUAUGGGGGGACCAUCCUCCAAGGCUAAAUACUCCUGACUGACCGAUAGUGAACCAGUACCGUGAGGGAAAGGCGAAAAGAACCCCGGCGAGGGGAGUGAAAAAGAACCUGAAACCGUGUACGUACAAGCAGUGGGAGCACGCUUAGGCGUGUGACUGCGUACCUUUUGUAUAAUGGGUCAGCGACUUAUAUUCUGUAGCAAGGUUAACCAAAUAGGGGAGCCGAAGGGAAACCGAGUCUUAACUGGGCGUUAAGUUGCAGGGUAUAGACCCGAAACCCGGUGAUCUAGC